UGUCAUCAGAGAUUUACUGACCCUGCAGGAUGAGGUAGUAGAUUGUAUAGUUUUGGGGUCACACCCGAUCUGGGAGAUAACUAUACAGUUUACUGUCUUUCCUGCGGUGUUUCCUUUCCACCAGACCACUG
rnacentral:pre_miRNA from 14 species